GGGGGUUUAGCUCAGCGGCAUAAGCGCCUGCCUUGCAAGCAGGAAGUCAUGAGUUCGAUCCCCCG
rfam:Cavia porcellus supercont2_4 genomic scaffold, whole genome shotgun sequence.